rnacentral:rRNA from 1 species
AACAAACGCUGGCGGCGUGCCUAAUACAUGCAAGUCGAACGGGGAAAGCUUUCGGGUGAGUACUAGUGGCGCACGGGUGAGUAACGCGUGGAUAAUCUGCCUUAGAGUGGGGGAUAACUAGUCGAAAGAUUAGCUAAUACCGCAUAAGACCACAAGAACUGCGGUUCAAGGGGUCAAAGGUUUUUCGCUCUAAGAUGAGUCCGCGUAAGAUUAGCUAGUUGGUGAGGUAAUGGCUCACCAAGGCGACGAUCUCUAACUGGUCUGAGAGGAUGAUCAGUCACACUGGAACUGAGACACGGUCCAGACUCCUACGGGAGGCAGCAGUAGGGAAUAUUGCACAAUGGAGGAAACUCUGAUGCAGCGACGCCGCGUGAGUGAUGAAGGCCUUCGGGUCGUAAAGCUCUGUCGCAAGGGAAUAACACAAUGAAUGUACCUUGCAAGAAAGGAUCGGCUAACUUCGUGCCAGCCGCCGCGGUAAAAC